AGAGUUUGAUCAUGGCUCAGGAUGAACGCUAGCGGCAGGCUUAAUACAUGCAAGUCGAGGGGCAGCAGGGCUGUAGCAAUACAGUCGCUGGCGACCGGCAAACGGGUGCGGAACACGUACGCAACUUACCCAUAACAGGGGCAUAGCCCGGGGAAACCCGGAUUAAUACCCCGUAACAUAGUGAGCAGGCAUCUGCUUAUUAUUAAAGUCUUCGGACGGUUAUGGAUGGGCGUGCGGCUGAUUAGGUAGUUGGCGGGGUAACGGCCCACCAAGCCUGCGAUCAGUAACUGGUGUGAGAGCACGACCAGUCACACGGGCACUGAGACACGGGCCCGACUCCUACGGGAGGCAGCAGUUAGGAAUAUUGGUCAAUGGACGCAAGUCUGAAC
rnacentral:rRNA from 1 species